rnacentral:rRNA from 1 species
CCCUUAGAUGUUCUGGGCCGCACGCGCGCUACACUGAUGCAUUCAACGAGCCUAUCCUUGACCGACAGGUCCGGGUAAUCUUUGAAUCUGCAUCGUGACGGGGAUAGAUUAUUGCAAUUAUUAAUCUUCAACGAGGAAUGCCUAGUAGGCGCAAGUCAUCAGCUUGCGUCGAUUACGUCCCUGCCCUUUGUGCACACCGCCCGUCGCUCCUACCGAUUGGGUGUGCUGGUGAAAUGUUCGGAUCGGCCGUUUGUCGCGGUUUCCGCGGCUCGUGGCUGAGAAGUUCAUUAAACCCUCCCACCUAGAGGAAGGAGAAGUCGUAACA